rnacentral:rRNA from 1 species
UACGGGGGGGGCAAGCGUUGUUCGGAAUUACUGGGCGUAAAGGGCGCGUAGGUGGCCAACUAAGUCAGACGUGAAAUCCCUCGGCUUAACCGGGGAACCGCGUCUGAUACUGGAUGGCUUGAGUUUGGGAGAGGGACGCGGAAUUCCAGGUGUAGCGGUGAAAUGCGUAGAUAUCUGGAGGAACACCGGUGGCGAAGGCGGCGUCCUGGACCAAUACUGACACUGAAACGCGAAAGCCGGGGGAGCAAACGGG